rnacentral:rRNA from 1 species
AGUGAACGCUGGCGGUAGGCCUAACACAUGCAAGUCGAACGGCAGCACAGUAAGAGCUUGCUCUUACGGGUGGCGAGUGGCGGACGGGUGAGGAAUACAUCGGAAUCUACUUUUUCGUGGGUGAUAACGUAGGGAAACUUACGCUAAUACCGCAUACGACCUACGGGUGAAAGCAGGGGAUCUUCGGACCUUUCGCGAUUGUAUGAGCCGAUGUCGGAUUAGCUAGUUGGCGGGGUAAAGGCCCACCAAGGCGACGAUCCGUAGCUGGUCUGAGAGGAUGAUCAGCCACACUGGAACUGAGAAACGGUCCAGACUACUACGGGAGGCAGCAGUGGGGAAUAUUGGACAAUGGGCGCAAGCAUGAUCCAGCCAUACCGCGUGGGUGAAGAAGGACUUCGGGUUGUAAAGCCAUUUUGUUGGGAAAGAAAAGCAGCAGGUUAAUACCCCGCUGUUAUGACGGUACCCAAAGAAUAAGCACCGGCUAACUUCGUG